GGGGCUGAUUUCAGCUUGACGGUGUACUUUACCAACUAGUUUGCAGGUCGGAAUGCACUGAACGUUAUCCGGUGCAAACCAAACAAAUGCAAUAGCAUUUAUUUCAGGAGGCGGUCUUUUGGCUGCUUUCCGAAAGCGAAUUUCAAAUCCUUUCAAGGCUUUGGCAUUCGCACCAGCUUACGUCUAAACUCGUAAGCCGCGCAGACUACGAUAUCAGAUAGUAGUUAAGGCGUGUCAUAUCAUCUGGUUGCCCGGGUUUUAUUUUCCAUAAAACUCGUUAAGACUUCGGAAUAGGAAAUGCCACUUUUUGACCGUUUACCGGUAGCAUUUCCAAAAUUUUAAAACGGCCUAAACCUGUAAAAGACUAGCUAGAUAAAACAUCGGACCCGGUUGCAAUUACCGGCAGCUCCACCA
rnacentral:tmRNA from 1 species